UGUAAAGUUCAAGCUCCGAUUAUGAGGGCGAACCGCGAAUGGCUCAUUAAAUCAGUCAUGAUCUACUUGAUUGUUUAAAGUUUAUAUGGAUAACUGUGGUAAUUCUAGAGCUAAUACAUGCGUGAAGGGGGCGACUCGGCGACGAGAAGCUCUGCGUUUAUUAGACUAAGACCGAUAGUUGCUGGCAACAGCAACUUUAUCAAAAAGGUGGUGACUCUGAGUAAAUAAUGGGUGCAAGCCCAUGUUGCCGACCUGGCACUUAAACGGCUAGCAAUAGUCGGCCAGGCGAAUCAAUCGAGUGUCUGCUCUAUCAACUGUGGAUGGUAGGGUAAUUGCCUACCAUGGUGGUGACGGGUAACGGGGAGUUAGGGCUCGACUCCGGAGAACAAGCCUGAGAAACGGCUAGUAGGACUAAGGUCUGCAGCAGGCGCGAAACUUACACAAUGCUAGAUUUCAAAUAUAUUAGCGAUGUAGUGAAGAAAAAUAACGAUGUACUUGUUUUUAAACAAACUUGUACAAUUGGAAUGAGACGACCGUAAAACAGUCAGUCGAGUAACAAAUGGAGGGCAAGUCUGGUGCCAGCAGCCGCGGUAAUUCCAGCUCCAUUAGCAUACAUUAAAGUUGUUGCGGUUAAAAAGCUCGUAGUUGAAUUUUGGACGAGCUCUUGGGCGCGGCAGCCGUCAAGGCGCGUCGUCUCUUCGGAUUCACGCGCUGGUUGUCGUCGACCUGCGGAGCUCGUUGUUUCGUCACUUAAUCGAGUGCGAAGCGGGGCGGUGCGAUACACUGUCAACUUAACGUUUUCAGUCGCAACGCCAUGUUUACCUUGAGAAAAUUAGAGUGCUCAGAGCAGGCAGUUGGGAUGUAAAAGUCUCUUUAUGCUUGAAUAAUGUUGCAUGGAAUAAUAGAAUACGGCCUCGGUUCUAUUCUGUUGGUCUUAUAGAACAACAAACAAGUUGGUUAAGGCAAUCACGGUUGCUUGUUAGAGUGGUUCUUUGUGUUGCUUGUUGUCUUGGAUGUAAAAAUUCAAGUACCAUCAGCGCAAUAGCCAUCAAAGCUCUCUCAAACACACCAGCCACAAUCAACUGAGGCAAUGGUUAAAAGAAAUAGUCGCGGCGGCAUCAGUACUGCAUCGUGAGAGGUGAAAUUCUUAGACCGAUGCAAGACUAACUGAAGCGAAAGCGUUUGCCGAGGAUAUUUUCAUUAAUCAAGAACGAAAGUUAGAGGUUCGAAGGCGAUCAGAUACCGCCCUAGUUCUAACCAUAAACGUUGCCAACUAGCAAUUGGGUUGCGAUUCCUUUAGUUGGAGCCUAAAAAACUCCAACCAUUAUGAUCCACCCAGCGGCUCUCGUAGGGAAACCAAAGUGUUUGGGUUCCGGGGGAAGUAUGAUUGCAAAGUUGAAACUUAAAGGAAUUGACGGAAGGGCACCACCAGGAGUGGAGCCUGCGGCUUAAUUUGACUCAACACGGGGAAACUUACUAGAUUAGAACUCUGGAAUGAUUGACAGAUUGAUAGCUCUUUCUUGAUUCAGAGGAUGGUGGUGCAUGGCCGUUCUUGAUUCGUAUUCCGAAACGUCUGCUUAAUUGCGAUAACGAGUGAGACCUCCUGAUGUUAACUAGUUGCAUUGGUGCGCUGUGGGACGCAAAAGUCGCUGCGCGUUCUAGUGUGUAGUGUGAGUUUCACGACUUUAUGCUGCACGCACCGCGUAGUGAUGUCCUCUGCUCGCCUGUAGACUUCUUAGCACGAUUUGCAGCAAAAAGCUGCCAGAGACGAG
rnacentral:rRNA from 1 species